GUGCUCCUUCCACAGUACAUAUACUAAAACUGGAUCAAUGCAGAGAUUAGCAUGGCCCCUGCACAAGGAUGACAAACAAAUUCAUGAAGCAUUCCAUAUUUUU